rnacentral:rRNA from 1 species
AGAGUUUGUAUCCUCGGCUCAGGACGAACGCUGGCGGCGUGCUUAACACAUGCAAGUCGAGCGGUGAACCCUUCGGGGGAUCAGCGGCGAACGGGUGAGUAACACGUGAGCAACCUGCCCUGACUCUGGGAUAGCCUCGGGAAACCGGGAUUAAUACCGGAUAUGACAUCGCCUCGCAUGGGGUGGUGUGGAAAGUUUUUCGGUCGGGGAUGGGCUCGCGGCCUAUCAGCUUGUUGGUGGGGUGAUGGCCUACCAAGGCGACGACGGGUAGCCGGCCUGAGAGGGUGACCGGCCACACUGGGACUGAGACACGGCCCAGACUCCUACGAGAGGCAGCAGUGGGGAAUAUUGCGCAAUGGGCGGAAGCCUGACGCAGCGACGCCGCGUGAGGGAUGAAGGCCUUCGGGUUGUAAACCUCUUUCAGCAGGGAAGAAGCGCAAGUGACGGUACCUGCAGAAGAAGCACCGGCUAACUACGUG